AACGCAUCUUGCGCCUAUUAGUAUUCUAGUAGGCAUGCCUAUUCGAGCGUCGUUUCUAUCCUCAACUAAUUUAUAGUUGGUGUUAGAAGCCAUGAUUAUUACCGGCUUCUUAAAUUUAAUAGCUAUUGUAUUUGGCGUUCUUCUACAAAGUAAUCUUGUCUGUUUAAGAACACAUUUAUAUUAGUAUUAAUUGUUAUUUAUAUUAGUUGACCUCGAAUUAGGUAGGAAUACCCGCUGAACUUAA
rnacentral:misc_RNA from 1 species